rnacentral:rRNA from 1 species
GAUGAUCGCUGGCGGCGUGCCUAAUACAUGCAAGUCGAGCGAACAGACGAGGAGCUUGCUCCUCUGACGUUAGCGGCGGACGGGUGAGUAACACGUGGAUAACCUACCUAUAAGACUGGGAUAACUUCGGGAAACCGGAGCUAAUACCGGAUAAUAUAUUGAACCGCAUGGUUCAAUAGUGAAAGCCGGUUUUGCUGUCACUUAUAGAUGGAUCCGCGCCGCAUUAGCUAGUUGGUAAGGUAACGGCUUACCAAGGCAGCGAUGCGUAGCCGACCUGAGAGGGGGAUCGGCCACACUGGAACUGAGACACGGUCCAGACUCCUACGGGAGGCAGCAGUAGGGAAUCUUCCGCAAUGGGCGAAAGCCUGACGGAGCAACGCCGCGUGAGUGAUGAAGGUCUUCGGAUCGUAAAACUCUGUUAUUAGGGAAGAACAAAUGUGGAAGUAACUAUGCACGUCUUGACGGUACCUAAUCAGAAAGCCACGGCUAACUACGUG